UACGGAGGGUGCAAGCGUUAUCCGGAUUUAUUGGGUUUAAAGGGCGCGUAGGCGGGCUCACAAGUCAGGGGUGAAAUCCCACGGCUCAACCGUGGAAGUGCCUUUGAUACUGUGGGUCUUGAGGGAGGUAGGGGCGUGCGGAACUUCCGGUGGAGCGGUGAAAUGCGUAGAUAUCGGAAGGAACACCGGUGGCGAAAGCGGCGCGCUGGACCUCUUCUGACGCUGAGGCGCGAAAGCCAGGGGAGCAAACGGG
rnacentral:rRNA from 1 species